rnacentral:rRNA from 1 species
AGCAGUCGCCGCGGUAAUACGAAGGGGGCUAGCGUUGUUCGGAUUUACUGGGCGUAAAGCGCACGUAGGCGGACUUUUAAGUCAGGGGUGAAAUCCCGGGGCUCAACCCCGGAACUGCCUUUGAUACUGGAAGUCUUGAGUAUGGUAGAGGUGAGUGGAAUUCCGAGUGUAGAGGUGAAAUUCGUAGAUAUUCGGAGGAACACCAGUGGCGAAGGCGGCUCACUGGACCAUUACUGACGCUGAGGUGCGAAAGCGUGGGGAGCAAACAGGAUUAGAUACCCGCGUAGUCCCUGUCUCUUAUAC